rnacentral:sRNA from 1 species
AUAUAACCAGAAAAUCUCAAAUCAUAACUCAUAAUAAUCUCAUAACAUGUGGAGAGCAAGAAACUUUUAUUUAAAACAUCCAGUGUUGAACCAAUGAUAGAAAUUGAAAUGAAAUAAUUGAUACUACAGUGUAUAUGUGUAAUUACACCAAACUAAGGCUUUGAAUGGAUGUUGUGGUUAGUGCGGACUAAUCUGUCAGCGGUCCAGUCCAUAUUAUUUGUGGGGCGGACAACAAACUGCUACAGACUUAGUUUAAAGACGGUCCGCAGUUAGUCCGCAGCGAUUUUCUUUUAUUUUUUUUGGGUCCGUAUCAUAACAGAGUAUAGUUUAUGAAUAGUAAACAAAAAGCGGUCUGGUCUAUAGACGGUUUGUCCGCUUGAACCGUUAUAACUAUUCAAAGCCUAACUAUUAAAUCAGAGAAAAAAAUCUAACACAAUUA